rnacentral:lncRNA from 1 species
AGAAAACUUACUGACAAUUAAUGAAUACAAGUGAUUGGAGACGAGUACAAGUGAUCAAAGAUAUCGAGAAGUGAUUACAAGUGAUUGGGGGUGAUUACAAGUGAUCAAAGAUAUCUAGAAGUGAUUACAAGUGAUUGGGGGUGAUUACAAGUGAUCAAAGGGUGAUUAAAAGUGAUUGAGAACUGAUUACAAGAGGGUACACAUGAUUAAUAGUGGAUUUGGUAUGAAAGUGUUGGGUUGUGAUCAAAGGAAGCUUAAUGGACAUAAGUGAGCAAGAGAGAUUGGAGGCUUGAAUGUAAGGUUGC